GAUUGAACGCUGGCGGCAGGCCUAACACAUGCAAGUCGAGCGGUAGCACAGAGAGCUUGCUCUCGGGUGACGAGCGGCGGACGGGUGAGUAAUGUCUGGGAAACUGCCUGAUGGAGGGGGAUAACUACUGGAAACGGUAGCUAAUACCGCAUAACGUCGCAAGACCAAAGUGGGGGACCUUCGGGCCUCAUGCCAUCAGAUGUGCCCAGAUGGGAUUAGCUAGUAGGUGGGGUAAUGGCUCACCUAGGCGACGAUCCCUAGCUGGUCUGAGAGGAUGACCAGCCACACUGGAACUGAGACACGGUCCAGACUCCUACGGGAGGCAGCAGUGGGGAAUAUUGCACAAUGGGCGCAAGCCUGAUGCAGCCAUGCCGCGUGUGUGAAGAAGGCCUUCGGGUUGUAAAGCACUUUCAGCGGGGAGGAAGGCGAUAAGGUUAAUAACCUUGUCGAUUGACGUUACCCGCAGAAGAAGCACCGGCUAACUCCGUGCCAGCAGCCGCGGUAAUACGGAGGGUGCAAGCGUUAAUCGGAAUUACUGGGCGUAAAGCGCACGCAGGCGGUCUGUCGAGUCGGAUGUGAAAUCCCCGGGCUUAACCUGGGAACUGCAUUCGAAACUGGCAGGCUAGAGUCUUGUAGAGGGGGGUAGAAUUCCAGGUGUAGCGGUGAAAUGCGUAGAGAUCUGGAGGAAUACCGGUGGCGAAGGCGGCCCCCUGGACAAAGACUGACGCUCAGGUGCGAAAGCGUGGGGAGCAAACAGGAUUAGAUACCCUGGUAGUCCACGCCGUAAACGAUGUCGAUUUGGAGGUUGUGCCCUUGAGGCGUGGCUUCCGGAGCUAACGCGUUAAAUCGACCGCCUGGGGAGUACGGCCGCAAGGUUAAAACUCAAAUGAAUUGACGGGGGCCCGCACAAGCGGUGGAGCAUGUGGUUUAAUUCGAUGCAACGCGAAGAACCUUACCUGGUCUUGACAUCCACAGAACUUUCCAGAGAUGGAUUGGUGCCUUCGGGAACUGUGAGACAGGUGCUGCAUGGCUGUCGUCAGCUCGUGUUGUGAAAUGUUGGGUUAAGUCCCGCAACGAGCGCAACCCUUAUCCUUUGUUGCCAGCGGUCCGGCCGGGAACUCAAAGGAGACUGCCAGUGAUAAACUGGAGGAAGGUGGGGAUGACGUCAAGUCAUCAUGGCCCUUACGACCAGGGCUACACACGUGCUACAAUGGCAUAUACAAAGAGAAGCGACCUCGCGAGAGCAAGCGGACCUCAUAAAGUAUGUCGUAGUCCGGAUUGGAGUCUGCAACUCGACUCCAUGAAGUCGGAAUCGCUAGUAAUCGUAGAUCAGAAUGCUACGGUGAAUACGUUCCCGGGCCUUGUACACACCGCCCGUCACACCAUGGGAGUGGGUUGCAAAAGAAGUAGGUAGCUUAACCUUCGGGAGNGGCGCUUACCACUUUGUGAUUCAUGACUGGGGUGAAGUCGUAACAAGG
rnacentral:rRNA from 1 species